rnacentral:tRNA from 1 species
AAAUAUGAAGCAAUAUUUGCAAUUAGUUUCGACCUAAAAUUUUGAUGUUUAAUUCAUCCUUAUUUA